UACGAAGGGUGCAAACGUUGCUCGGAAUCACUGGGCGUAAAGCGCACAUAGGCGGAUUGUUAAGUCAGGGGUGAAAUCCUGGAGCUCAACUCCAGAACUGCCUUUGAUACUGGCGAUCUCGAGUCCGGGAGAGGUGAGUGGAACUGCGAGUGUAGAGGUGAAAUUCGUAGAUAUUCGCAAGAACACCAGUGGCGAAGGCGGCUCACUGGCCCGGUACUGACGCUGAGGCACGAAAGCGUGGGGAGCAAACAGG
rnacentral:rRNA from 1 species